rnacentral:misc_RNA from 1 species
GUGAAUCAUCAAAUUUUUGAACGCAAAUUGCACUCUCCUCGGAGAGUAUGCCUGUUUGAGGGUCAGCCUAUAAAAAUCGACAUCGUUGCUGUUUCGCGGUGGCGCUCGUCGGAAAUUGGGUCAUCUUAAAUCCUUUGGUUUAAGCGGCUUAAAAUUUUCUUUUUGUUCCAUGAACGGUUCUAAGAUCUUUUUCCUUACACGGUUUAGGUAUCGAUUUUUACUAGACGUUACCAUCAU